GUUUGUGUAUUGAAUUUUUUAUUUUUAAUAUUAAAGAGCUUUGUUAAACUUAGACUUAAGUUUAGGUCAUUUUGGGGGUUUAGCUCAGUUGGCUAGAGCAUCGGCUUUGCAAGCCGAGGGUCAAGGGUUCGAGUCCCUUAACCUCCAUUGGGCUUAUGUCCUAAAUCGUAAUUAAGUAUGUUUUUAAGUAACUUUGUUAAAGUAAUUGUUGGAACGUGAAACAGAGGAAGUUAAAAUUUCUGGGUUAAGUUGAGAUCUGUUGAUAUUAAGAAGAAUCUCUAGAAGCAAAAGCAAGCUUUCGAUAAAACCCGAAGUUGUUUCGCUAAAGUGCAAGGAUUAAACAGGAUUGUAUUUUCCAGUAGCCUAUUUUAUAAAUGAUCUGCAUUUAGUAAAUAGUUUUUAGUUAAGAAAUAAUGUAGAUUGCUAAGUGUGAUGCCUGAAAGAAGGACAAGUAUUGUAGCGAGCCUAAAUCCUUGUUGUCGUUGCCAGUAUUUAGUGGUAGGGAUUCGGAUAAGACUGCCAUUUAUAAGUUGGAGGAAGGCAAAGAUUGCAUUAAAUCGUUAUCGCUCUUAUGUUUUAGGUUACAAGUUUGCCACAAUAACCCAAAAAAGCUAAGCAAAAUGCUAUAAAGCAGAUUUCAGUUUGGAUUUGCCCGACACUCAAUGGCAUGAAGUUGUAAUUGUUAGUAAUCGCAUAUACCUUAAUAUAGAAAUUGAAUAAAUUUUUGUUUUUUUAAUUAUAGCUUAAAACAGUAUUGUCGUAA
rnacentral:tRNA from 1 species